rnacentral:rRNA from 1 species
UAAGUGAAGAGUUUGAUCCUGGCUCAGAACGAACGCUGGCGGCGUGGCUAAAGCAUGCAAGUCGAACGGACCCCUUGAAGAGUAAUCCGAUUGGGAGUUAGUGGCGAACGGGUGAGGAAUACAUGGAUAACGUGCCCCGAACUCUGGGAUAGCGGCGGAACUUCGGUUCCUUUGCGAAAGUGCCGGUAAUACCAGAUGACCCCGUGCGGUCUCAUGAUCGUGCGGGCAAAGUUCAGGCGGUUUGGGAGCGGUCCAUGUCCUAUCAGCUUGUUGGUGGGGUAAAGGCCUACCAAGGCAACGACGGGUAUCGGGUGUGAGAGCACGACCCGACACAUCGGGACUGAGACACUGCCCGGACACCUACGGGUGGCUGCAGCAACGAAUAUUCCGCAAUGGGCGCAAGCCUGACGGAGCGACGCCGCGUGCAGGACGAAGUCUUUCGGGAUGUAAACUGCUGUCAGGGGCUAGAAAUACAUUGAUCAGCCCCAAAGGAAGCAUCGGCUAACUCCGUGCCAGCAGCC